AACCAGCCAAAAUUCUUUCCUGAAUGAAAACAUCUUUUUUUAAAGUUGCAUAUACACAAAAGAAAAAUGCCAAAUGGUUUUUAUUUUGCCUGAAUAUAAGGUUUAAACAAGGUACUGCCAUAGAAGUCUCUACCGCAGAACGUUCUGUUGGACUCUUUCAUGGAACUGUAGGAUCAUAUGGGCAGCCCUUGUGUUUGAACCGUACCCUCUGUCUUCCGAUUCUGUCACCCUGGGAAAGAAAGAAGCAGAACCUGAGGCUCCUUUCAUUCACUCAUUGCUGGGAUCAAUGUCCAGGGCCAAGGCAGUUUUAUUUGUAUGGAUUUCUGUUCACUGCUGCAGUAUAGAGGUUGCAGAAUCCCUUAAG